UACGUAGGGACCAAGCGUUGUUCGGAUUUACUGGGCGUAAAGGGCGCGUAGGCGGCUUGUCAAGUCACUUGUGAAAUCUCUGGGCUUAACCCAGAACGGCCAAGUGAAACUGACAUGCUAGAGUGCAGAAGGGGCAAUCGGAAUUCUUGGUGUAGCGGUGAAAUGCGUAGAGAUCAGGCAGAACACCUGGGGCGAAGGCGGCCAGCUGGGCCGUCCCUGACGCUGAGGCGCGAAGGCGUGGGGAGCGAACGGG
rnacentral:rRNA from 1 species